GUCGAGAAUAAUUCACAAUGGACGAAAGUCUGAUGGUGCAACGCCGCGUGGAGGAUGAAGGUCUUCGGAUUGUAAACUCCUGUCAUCGGGGAGUAAGACCUGACGGUAAAUAGCCGACAGGGUUGAUAGUACCCGAAGAGGAAGGGACGGCUAACUUCGUGCCAGCAGCCGCGGUAAUACGAAGGUCCCAAGCGUUGUUCGGAAUCACUGGGCGUAAAGGGAGCGUAGGCGGCGUGGUAAGUCAGAUGUGAAAUCCCGGGGCUCAACCCCGGAACUGCAUCCGAUACUGCCAUGCUUGAGGGUUGGAGAGGUAGCUGGAAUUCUCGGUGUAGCAGUGAAAUGCGUGGAUAUCGAGAGGAACACUCGUGGCGAAGGCGAGCUACUGGACAACAUCUGACGCUGAGGCUCGAAGGCCAGGGGAGCAAAAGGGAUUAGAUACCCGAGUAGUCC
rnacentral:rRNA from 1 species